rnacentral:lncRNA from 1 species
GUGGAAACCACAUGGGAGGCAAAGAAUGAAGAGUAAUGAGCCAGAGGAGGAAGAUGAAUGACCUUGAAAGCGAGUUGGGGAGCUUGCACUUUGUCCUGCAGGAGCCAACACAGCUGAAUCUGUCCCAGAGACCUACAGCCCCCAGCAUAUCCUCCCUCGCAGUCUCUCUGGUUCCAGCUCAGACGAUUAAGAAGUCGAGGUCACUCUGCAAGGCAUGGCCUGUCCAUUUCGAACUCCCAGCCCAACUACGAGCAAGGCGGUAUGUGCAUGUCUCCAGCCAGAUUUCACUGCCACAGGAGGUGAGGGAAUCAAAGGCAGGGGGAUGGUUUUUAAAAAGCCUGGAGAAAUUUAUGACUCAAUUUAAAACCACUUGUAGUUUAUCAAAGCAAAGGAAAUGGAAUCGCAAGCUCCGGGGCAGGAACAGAUUUUCUGUAAGCGAGAAAGAGGAGCCUGUCCUUCUACCCAGUCUUCCAUGACAGCAAAAUCUUUCCCAAAUCCCACACAUCUGCCAACAACAAAGCAGUCUCUUCUUGACAUGACCAAUGAUUGUACAGAAUUUAUAAAUGUCAAGUCUACCUUUAGAAACCUUGGCUAAUUGGAGCGGCCGCAAGCUUCUUGCGAUGGCUCUGUCUAUUCUCAGACUUAUUUCACUUAGCGUUAUGUCUUCAAGUUCUAU